rnacentral:lncRNA from 1 species
AUUACAAUCAUUGUGAUUAAUAAAGAAUGUUUCAGAUGUUCAAAGAAAAAAAAAGAACGUUUCAACCUUCAGAAUCUCAAUACCCACCAUUUUGUUUGUAUUGUAUCCAACGUAAUACAAUCAAAUAACCCAACAUCACACUCUUAAUGUUUGAGAUGAGAAAGACAAACACUCUUUAAAGUUUGCUGGUCGGCAGACCAACAGGUUUGGCCCUAGACCUCUUCUCCACAACACGAGAGAGUUCCUUCACAGCUUCUUUUGCCAAAUGGCGAGGUUUGCUAAGCCACAAUCCUCCAUCUACCACCAUUGUUAGUCCAUUCACAUACUUCCCUGUUAACCAAAAAAAUCACGCAUAUAUUACUACUCUUACCAUCUCUCCAUGUGUUUUACAUUACGAAAGAGUGAUUUUUAAACUCAGCAUACCAGUAUCACCGCUGAGGUAGAGUGCAGCCAUGGCGAUAUCCCACUUCUCACCGAGUUUAUAGAGAGGCAUUAACUCUCGGGUUUUGUUUUGGAUCUCGUCAGGUACAAGCUUACUCAUUCCAGGCGUGCCUCCUAUGGGGCCUGGCGCAAUCCCGUUCACUCUGAUCUCGUAGUCAGUUCCCCACUCCAAUGCCAAGUUCCUUGUCGUAGCAUCGACUGCUGCCUGUUUCAAGUUUAGAAAAACAAACCUAAGAUCCCAUUUUUGAUAUAAUACCGUACUUAAGUUAUUGAUUUUCUAACCAAAGAACACUAGUUAAUCACCUUGGCUGCAGAAACAUGUAUUUGGUACCAAGAAGCAGUGUAGUGCAAAGUAGCACUUAUGUUGAUGAUCGACCCACCGCCGCUUGCUGGGUCUCUACCAGGCCCUCCUUUCUUAAGAUACUUGAGUGCUUCAUGGCACAUGUUGAACGUUCCUACUGCAUCAAUAUCUAAAACUGCACAAAACCAAACAAAAAAAGUUUUCCAAAUUGAACAAAGCAAAGACAAACUUCUACUAGUUUAUUUUCCUUCAAGAUUUUUUUUUUCAAACUUCUUACAAUUCUAUAUUAUUACCUUUUCAUUGUUUUUAUUUCCUAAUUUUCGAUCGGAAUUUUUGUAAUUCUACUAAUUUUUUUUCUUGAAACUUAUAGUCCCUCUGUUUCUAACUAAAUAAGUGUCAUUUUGAAAAAAUUUCUCUGUUUCUAACUAAAUAAGUGUCAUUUUGAUAUUUUUCACACAAAUUAAAAAAGCGGCGGAAAUAUAUGUAAGCUACUAUUAAUUAUACUUCUCUAACCAAUAGUAUUUGAGAUAAAUAAAAUUAUUUAUAAUUAAAAAAUUUCAGAUAAAAAUAAAUAUAAUUUGCAUUGAAAUCGUAAAGUGACAUUUUUUUGUAACAAAAAAAAAAAAAAAAGGUUAAAAGUUGACAAAACAGAUAAGAGUGAGAUGAAUGAGAAAAGGUGGAUCCACCUGUUCUGAAGCCAUUGGUGGACAAAUCCUCAGCCGCAGAGAGAAAAUUUCCGGCGGCUGCGUUAAUGAGAAUAUCAAUCCUACCGAAGUGCUGAUAAGUUGAUUCCACUAUUCUCUUCGCAUCCUCUGGCUUACGAACGUCACCUUCCAAUCCAAUAGCCUUGCAGACACAUAAAUUGCAAAGAGACGAAGCAAUUCAACAAGCAAUCGAAACUAUUCAUCCCAAUUCAAACGAAAAUCCUCUCGAAAUAUUACCGCAAUCCCGAGGGAUCGGAGGUCAGAGACGGCGGCGUCGAGGACUUGUUUACGGCGUCCCAUGAUGGCGAUGGAAGCUCCAUGUUUCCCGAACUGAGUGGAGAUCUCGAAACCGAUGCCUGAUCCGCCUCCCGUGAUGAGAGCCACCUUGCCUUUGAGGACAUCAGGAUUGAACGGAGAAUCCAUGAUCACCACUCGGUCCACGCGCGAAUUCGCGAAAGCUAAUAACAAGAUAAAGCUAAGCCACAAAUGUUUCUCUUCUUACUACCUACCCAACUGCCAUAUUUAGUUAAUUAUCUCCGCAUUUUAAGAAAAUUAUAAGAAUUGACCUGUUGUGAAUCGAUCUCUCUCACUUGUAGCUAUAUCCUAAGGCUACUUCUUCUCUCUCGUUUCACUCUCGACCUCACACACUCUCGAUUUCUCUCGUGUGUUUAUGAAAUAGAAAAAAACAAAAAAAAGACACAACGAGAUUUGUUUACCCAGUUCGGGAUUCGAUGUGAAUCCGUACGUCUAGGGCUUGACGACACAAGCAACUACUCCACUAUAAUUGAAUCGAGUCUUUACAAAGAUCACCACAAGAACAAUGAAUCAAAGAUGCAAUCCACGUUCUCGAUGAUCUUUCUCUCUUCUUCUUUUCUUCCGAUUCUCUCUUGAGUAGUCUGUUUCGAGAUGAUGAACUCUUCCUUUCUCAAGCCCUUAAGUAGCUGAGACCGGUACACUCUAAACCAGCUGAAUCAAUAACACUCGCCUUGGUUAUCUCCAAUUGAUUGAUGUACCAACUUGAACAGAACCAGAACCGGUUAGCUCCCAAAAUACCAUUGUUGAAUGUCACACUUCAUAAAAAUCUCCACCUUGACAUCAACAACAUGAGUUCAUCCCUUAUACCAUCAAGCGUAGCCACUCUCUUAGCAUCUGGAUACUCCAAGCUCAGACAGAGCUUGAUCAAACUUCGUUCCUGGAAUCACCUUGGUUAACAUAUCUGCUGGGUUCUUGGAAGUAUGAAUCUUCACUAUCUUCACUUCUCCUGUGUCAACCAUGUCUCUCACGAAACUCAUCUUCAAAUCUUCACUAGCUACGUGCUUCGACACUGCUACAUGCUUUGUUCGAUCAUGAAACGCAUUGUUCUUCACCAAGCAUAUUGCGCUUUGAGAAUCACACUCCACCUUAACCUCUUCUUGUUGAUAUCCCAGUUCCUCAGCAAGUCCUCUGAGCCAUAACCCUUCCUUUAUAGCUUCCACCAGUGAUAUGUGCUCCGCUUCUGUAGUCGACAAUGCCACCACUGGUUGUAACCCCGACUUCCAGCUAACCGUAUUGCCUCCCACCGUAAAUACAUACCCUGUGGUAGAUCUUCUUCUAUCGAGAUCACCUCCAUAAUCUGAAUCUGAGAACCCUCUGACGCUGAACCCUGAACUUUGCUUCUUUAAGACUAAACCAUACUGAUGAGUCUUCACCAAAUACCGUAAUAUCCACUGAACAGCUUCCCAAUGAGUCUUAUCUGGAUUACUCAUGAACCGGCUUAAAACUCCUACUGCAAAUGCUAAAUCAGGUCAUGUCCCUAUCAUCGCAUACAUGACACUUCCAACCACAUUUGCAUAUGGAUACUCUUCCUCAGACCCCACACCUUUAUCUCCUUCCUUCAACGAUACUAGUUUGAAGUGAGCUCCCAAAGGCGUUAAUACAGGGCUUGCCAUAUCCAUACGAAACACUUGUAAAACCUUCUUUAAGUAACCUGACUGAGACAGUUUCAGUACUCCUUUUUCUCUGUCUCUCUCAAUAUCCAUUCCUAAGAUCCUUCUUGCUGGCCCCAAGUCUUUCAUAUCAAAUCUCUUAGCCAACAUUUUCUUCACCUUGUCUACAUCUUUCAUGUUUUUCGAGACAAGUAACAUAUCAUCUACGUAUAGGAGUAGAUAUAUGUAUUCUCCACCUUCCAACUUCUUGAAGUAGAUGCAUAGAUCAAACUCACUCUUCUCAAACCCAUUCUCUGUCAUGUACAGAUCAAAGCACUUGUUCCACUGUCGAGGCGCCUGUUUCAACCCAUACAGAGACCUCAUCAACCUACAGACCUUGUGUUCUUCUCCUUCCACCUCGUACCCUGGUGGUUGAUCCAUAUAUAUCUCUUCAUCAAUGGAUCCAUGCAAGAACACUGUUUUCACGUCGAUUUGCUCCAUUUCAAGAUCCUUGUCAACAACAAUUGACAACAUAAGUCUAAUUGAAACAUGCUUCACUACCGGCGAGAAGAUCUCUUGAUAGUCAACUCCUUCUCGUUGUGAGUAACCUUUUGCAACCAGUCUCGCCUUGUGUCUCGGUGGCUCGACUCCGGGUAUUCCUGGCUUGUAUUUGUAAAUCCAUUUACAGCCAAUCGUCUUCUUCUCUUUUGGAAGUUCACUUAUGUUCUACGUCUUAUUUGUGGCAAGUGAAACCAUUUCAUCGUCCAUCGCUGCGUUCCACUUCUCCUAAUCUUUGCUUCUCAUAGCCUCUUCAUAGCUUCGAGGCUCCUCACUUUCUAUCUCCUCUGCUACAGAUAGUGCAAAUGCCAGUGCUGAAUCCUCUGUAUAUCUUGCUGGCUUCACUAUCUCUCUGCAAACCCUGUCUCUUGCUAACUGGUAAUUGCUCAAAUCUUCUGUAACUUCAGUCGUAGUCGUCUGUUCUUCAUCUACCUCUGCCUGACCAGCUACAACUUCUGACUGAUCCCCCUGCGAUGCCUCUGAGCUUUCCCCAACCUCAACCGUUGUUCUGAUUGAUGUUUCUGCAUCUGUGUGUCCUUGUUCAAUGCCUUUUCCACGAUCCAGAACAUCAUCCUUGUAGAGCACCUAUUCUAUGAAUAUUGCAUUUCUACUGAUCACCACCUUUCUUUCUUCCAGCAAGCACACCUUGUAGCCUUUUCCCCCAGUUGGAUAACCAAUGAAGACACCCUUCAUAGCUAUCGGCUUGAGCUUCCCCUGGUCGACAUGUACGUAGACAACUGACCCGAACCUUCUGAGAUGUCCAUACCCUGGCGUCUUCCCAAGCCACAGUUCUUCGGGUAUGUUGAAGUCAUUUGCCGAUGAUGGUGUUCUGUUUAUGAUGUAAACUGAUGUUGCAGCAGCUUCUGUCCAAAACCUUUCCUCCAGACCUGAUUCACUCAAAAGACAUCUAAAUUUUUCCAUUAUAGUCUGGUUCAUACGCUCUGCAACACCGUUCGGUUGCGGAGUGUAUGAACACGUCAUGUGCCUUUCAAUACCAUGCAUCUUACAAUAGUUAUCAAAUGCAAUAUUACAGAACUCAAGGCCAUUAUCAGUCCUAAGGCAUUGAACUCUACGGUUAACCUGAUUCUCUACUAAGUUCCUCCAUUCACAAAACUUGUUAAAUACCUCAUCCUUAGUAGCUAGAAAGUAAAUCCAAACUUUCCUAGUGUAAUCAUCAAUAAUGGACAAGAAGUAUUGCUUUCUAGAGAUAGACAUGUGAACAUUUGGAGAUCCCCAAAGGUCCGCAUGAACAUACCUCAAUACCUCUUCAUUAUUGUGCUUACCAACAAUGAAGCUCAGCUGCUUGUUCUUUCCCAUGAUGCAGCUCUCACAGAAGUCAAGCUCGCAGAUCUUCUUCUUGUGUAGUAUUCCUUUGUCUGCCAGAAUCUUCAGGUUCCUCAUGCUUGUAUGUGCAAGGCAACAAUGCCAUAAAGUCGUAUCAUCCUCGGCAAUGGCCGCAUUCGCUGAAGGUGACACUGUUUCUCCAUCCAGUAAGUACAGGCUGCCCAACAACGUUCCUCGUAGUGCAAGUUUACCCUUCUUGUAGAAACAAGUUUUUCCUUCUCCACCUUCUUGCUUGAAUCUCUGCAGAUCAAGAGAACUGACUGAGAUCAAAUUUCUCUUUAAAUUUGGAACAUACCUGACGUUUGUAAGUCUGUUGACUGUACCGCCUCUUGUGUUGAGCAUGACAGUUCCCAUUCCUUGGACAUAUACUGCCAUGUCAUCUGAAAGUAGCACUUGUCCUCCAGUUACUUCUUUGAAUUCACUGAACCAGUUUUGCCUGGACGUCAUGUGAUAUGAGCAUCCCGAGUCUAUCACCCAGUUGUUUCUUGGGCCAUGGUCGGAGAUAGCAAGUGCAUCUAUCUCCUGAAGCGUGUCCACCAUCACAGCAGCUUCACCAUCUUCCUCACUUUCCAUUCGCUUCUUCCUUGCGAAACAAUCUUUCUUCAUAUGACCCUCCUUCUUGCAGUACCAGCAAGUCACCUUAGACCUUGAUCUGGACCUCGACUUGUUGUUUGAGUUUCUGCCUUUGUAGUUGUCCCUUCUCUCUGGCCUGCCGCGAGUGACAUACGCUUCUCCAGACCUCUGUGAAAGAUUAGAUUCCUUCACCUCCUUCAACUCAAUCUCUUUCGACUUUGCUGCAUUGGUUACAUCUUCUAAAGACAAUGUAUCCUUCCCAUACUUCAAAGUCUCCUUGAGUUGAUUGUACUGAGACGGCAAGGAGCUUAACAGCAGUAUUGCUUGCACCUCCUCUGAAACAGAAACAUUGACAUUGCAUAAUCCGGAGACUAAUUUCAAGAAAUCAUCUAUGUUUUCAUCGAUUGACUUAAAUUCUAUCAUCUUGAAAGUGUAAAACUUAUGCUGCAGAUGUAUACAAUUCGGUAAAGUUUUAGAAUUAUACAACCUUUCAAGUGCAGACUAGAUGGUUGCAGCCGUUGUAUAUUCUUCGAGCUUCCUCAACACAUGAUCUCCAAGAUUCAGGAUGAUCAUGUUCAUCGCCUUCUCGGCCCUCUCCGACUUCUCGACCACGAGCUGUUUAAUGCGCUCCUUGAAGGCUUCCUCAUCUUUGUCUUUCUUGAUUGUAAUCCCAGAAUCUGACGGAGCCUCCGCUAGAGCAUCCUUCAACCCAAGAAUCGACAGAUGAGCUAAUAUCCUUUUCUUCCACAUCGAGAAAUCGCCUUGCCCGUCGAAACAUGCAAUCUUGACUUUCGCCAUCGAUUCUUUCAUCGGUUACCGUAACCUGGUGCUCUGAUACCACUUUGUUGUGAAUCGAUCUCUCUCACUUGUAGCUAGAUCCUAAGACUACUUCUUCUCUCUCGUUUCACUCUCUAUUGACCUCACACACUCUCGAUUUCUCUUGUGUGUUUAUGAAAUAGAAAAGAACAAAAGAAGACACAACGAGAUUUGUUUACCCUGUUCGGGAUUCGAUGUGAAUCCGUACGUAUGGGGCUUGACGGCACAAGCAACUACUCCACUAGAAUCGAAUCGAGUCUUUACAAAGAUCACCACAAGAACAAUGAAUCAAAGAUGCAAUCCACGUUCUCGAUGAUCUUUCUCUCUUCUUCUUUUCUUCCGAUUCUCUCUUGAGUAGUCUGUUUCGAGACGAUGAACUCUUCCUUUCGCAAGUCCUUAAGUAGCUGAGACCGGUACACUCUAAACCAGCUGAAUCAAUAACACUCGCCUUGGCUAUCUCCAAUUGAUUGAUGUGCCCACUUGAACUGAAUCAGAACCGGUUAGCUUCCAAAACACCAUUGUUUAAUGUCACACUUCAUAACAUGACCAAAAUAAAUAUUCUACAGAUGACGAUUUACAGUGAGUGUAUCUAUCAUUCCGGUAAUAAUUAAAAUAAAAUGUAACUCUAUACUCUAAAGUAAUGUAUCUCUUAAAGUUAUUGUUGGGCAUAUCCCUUAUAUAUUAAAAGAGAAGCAUUGUAAUAAAUGCAUUCACACUAUAAUAAACAUGUGUGAUGAUUGAUAAUAAGUAUGUUAACGCGUUCAAACUAUAUUAGUAAAUGUGCUCACGCUAUGUAUUUUACAUUUUUUUAAUAUAAAACUCACAUAUAUGAUUCCAAUAAAACUCUGGAUUUUUUCGGUUCGAAUAAAAAUAGAUAACGAAUCAAAAGCCAAACAAUAAAUAUAUUAUUUUUAUUGUUUACGGAUAAAGUUGAGCAAAAUAUUCAUAAAUUUUGAUUCGAUUCGUUAUCCGUUUUGAUUUGAACCAAAAAAUCUGGAUAUCUAUAACUCUACGAAACAAAUCAGAUAUUAAAAUACAAUAUUCAAAAAAGAAGCGAAUCACAAAUACAAAUAUUUUUAGUAACAGAUAUCUAAUUUGAUCUGUUAUAUGCAUAUAUAUACAUAUAUGUAAAGAAUUAUAUAUAUACGUUAUAUAUAUUAUACUUCAUAUCAGUUUUACAAUAUUUUUAUGAAUUAAAUUUAUUAUAUUAGGUACUAGAAUUUAAAAUGUUAAAUAAUAUUGUAUUUUUGUAAUAAAAUUUUAUUAUUAAAUUUUUUAAUUAUUUUUAAAAUUUUAUUUUAUUUACGGAUCAAAUCGGAUAUUCUUUAAAAUUCUAAAAUAUUUCAGAUAUUCGAGUCACCGAAUAUCUAGGUGGCUAAAGAUCGAAUCGACACGAAUGCUUCCAAAUACCCAUAUAUUCGAUAUGUGCCCACCCCUAUUUGCGGAUACAAUUUUAUUUUCUUUAUAUGAAAAAAAAUGACUAAUGUCAAGGCCUUUUUUAUUUUAAAUUAAUUUUAAUUUUAUCUUUCAUGUAUUAUUUUGCACAAAAAUAUCGUUUAAUAUUAAUUAACAAUAUCUUUAUAUAUUUGUCAACUAUUUUUAUAUACUUUUUACAUACACAUACAUGUGCAUCUUGAUGUGAGCACCUUAUAACUAAGUAUUCAGCACAACUGAAGUAUCUAAUUUUUUUAAAGUUGAAAUAUUUUUUCUUAAUGCUUCUUUCACUACCGACCAAAUUGUAGUGAAAUGAUUUGUUUUAACAAUUUUUUUUCUUAAACUAUUAUCUGUUUAGAAAGUAUAAUAUGAAACUAUUGGUUCGACAAGACGACUAUCUAAAAUUCAUAACAUGAAAAUAAACAAAUAAUAUUAUUUUUUGGUUUAUACCAGAAAAAACCAAAAAAUCAAACAUUUUAACCGAAUAAACUAAAAAGAAUAUUAAUUUAAAAUAAUAGUUAUAUUUUAGAAGAUUAAAAACCAAAAAAAAAAAAUUUUAAACCGAACCAAUAUCCAGAUUAAAAAUGUCUUUUUAUUAAAAAUAACGAAACUAAUAAUCACAUCCCGCGCAAAACGCGGGUUAUUACCUAGUUUCAACCGUUAUUAUUCAAAAAAAAAAUUGGGAUUAUGUUUUAUUUAAUUAAUUUAUUAUCACAUUCACACAUGGUAAACAAUCAGAAAUAUUUUCAUAUUAAUUUAAAUGAUUUUAAGAAAAGGGGUUAUGAGACCCAAUCUUCAUAUUCAGGUAAAAAAUCUCAAAUGAUCUUAAGACUCAAAAGCAAGUCUAAUAUACUAUCAAUUAAGGUUGAAUAUUCUAAUUUGUUCUCAAUGAAACAAGAGAAUUCUAAAUUUACUCUUUAACUUUUCUUUAAAAAAAAUUCAAAUUUUAAUUUUAACUUUAAUUUCAAACUUAAAUAUAACUUCAAUUGUCGAGAUACAUAUUAAUAUAAUUGAUUACAAAUGAAUAUAUUUUGUUAAAUAGUUAUAUUAGGUUACUAAAUUACACUUUGAAAAUUAUACAAAGUUAUACUAUUGGUGUACAAUUUAUUAUAAUCGUGUAAGACCGCCAGCGUCAUAAUUGUUUUUGUGUAACCAAAGAUCAUCAAAUAUUAAAAUCUCAAAAUAUGAUUCUAUUGUACAUAUGCUUCCUGACUCGGUUACAUUCUAGCUUCCCAGCUACACUAUGGUUUGAAUAUGUUCUUAAUGUAUUCUAAAUUCAUCUUACAAAAAAAAACAAAGACAAGGUCAAUGCAAUAAAAAUAAACAUGGUGGAUCAUGUGUUCUACAAAGUUUGAUUAUCAAAAUAGCUGAGCCAUUCAUUGUAAACAUCUAACCCUGGUUCAACCAUUCGGCUACACAAAUCAUCAUCUGAUUGCAUAUGGAUUUCUAGAGAGUCCGGUUUAGAUAUAGAAAGAGGAGGAAUCUGGCGAUCUUCAAAAAGAUAUUCUAGUGAUUGUGGUGCAUUCACCUCAAAUCCACAUGCAAUAUGCUCCACCAAUAUAUUUUCCAACUCCUCUUCCUGAUUAUGCUUCUCGCUGUUAAUAACGUCAGUAGAGACUGAUGAGGAAGAAGAGGACACUGAAGAGGCUUGGUUGGUAACAUCUGAUGCUGAGUUGCUCUUCACCGAUCGUUUCUUGAGAUGAGUGUUCCACACAUUCUUGAUCUCGUUGUCUGUUCUUCCCGGUAAGUGUGAUGCUAUUUUUGACCACCUGAUCAAUCAAUGCACUAGUUAUACUUAUUGUUUUUACAUAAUUUUUAGAUUGAAACUAGGGAGACAUGACUUUACUUGUUUCCAAGAACUUGAUGGAGGUGGAUAAUGGUAUCUUCCUCCUCUUUGGUGAAGUUGCCUCGUUUGAGACCUGGUCGCAGAUAGUUUAACCAUCUUAAACGGCAACUCUUUCCGCAUCUCGCCAAUCCUAUUUUGUUUCAGUUAAAACAUACAUUACUAAUCAUGAACACCAAAAUUACAAGCUUAACUUACGAGUUCAGCAAUUGAAUUUAAAUAAUCUAGUGAAGAUUUCAUCAGAUGGUGCAUACGUUUGGUUGAAGUAUAUGUUCGCCAUAUCUAAUUACCUAUUAUUUACAUAAACUUUUUUUCAACCAUCUAUUUCAAACUUUUAUCUCAUCAUCCGGAAGAAUCUGUAUGCAAAUUCAACUUUAAGGAAAUAAAGGUAAUAUAUAUACGAACGUUACAGAUUGUGUAAUUGUUGUCAAACAUCUCAUAUUUUAUUCUUCAAAAGAAAAUAUGCUUCCUUUAUGAAAGAAGCACCAAAAUCGUAACUAAGAAAUGUAACUGCAUUUUAGAGGUUGUUCAAAAAAAAAAGAAAUGUAACUACAUUUUGCGUUAAUUUUCAUUGCUUAAAAUAUAUAAAUUAUAACGAGCCUAUGAACCAUCUCUACAACAAAUAAAUCAAUAUUCCAUUAUAAUAAAUUUUAGAGGCUAUUCAAGAACAUUUUGUAUCUUUUAACAAAGAGAGAGAAGAGAAAAGAUUGUAGCAUCUUGUCAAAUCAAAGAACGUAAGCAUUGUAGAGAACUAGAGUGAGAGACAAAAUGAAACUAUAAACAUGAAAAUACUUGAAAAUGAAAACGAGCGAACAUGCAAUGUGAUAGAGAGGAUCUUUAGAGGAAAAAACAAUUAAAUUUACCAUUAAGCAAAAGAAAUCAUUGAUAAAAGGACUGACCAGCUAGUUUAGGAAGAGAUCUCCAGUUGUGAUGACCAUGUUUUAGAAUAAAAGCAUUGAGUCUUUCACUUUCUUCAUCACUCCAUGGCCCUCUCUUCAGAACUUGGCUAUUUGUCACAGCAUGGUGUUCUUCUUUUCCCCAUCACACACAUCGUCUUUAAUUUUAGAGAAUCUUUGAGAUAUUCAUGUUUAUAUACACACAUCUACGUGUCAACAUGGCAUAUAAGGGUUUUUUUCUUUUUCAGAAAAGAUAUCCAGGGGUUGUGAGACCACAAGGGUCAUGCCACAUUGCCACUUAUUCAUGUACAAGUAAACCUACUUAAAUUAAUUAAUGGAAUUGUCAUGAACUAGAUUGUGGAUGGCUCAUAACCAAGAGAUUAUGAUUUGUAAUCUUUCCAUUUAUCUAUGACGGUGUAAUUUCCUAUAUAAGGAACCUUUAUGUUAUGAAUAAAGAGAGACUUUUCCAUUACUUUUAUAACACGUUAUCAGCACGAAAUUCUAAAUCCCUAAGCUAAUACCCAAAUCGAAAAACCCUAAAACCCUAACCCUGGCCGGCGAUCCGACGAACCCUAAACCUCGAUCGCGUCUCUUGUUCCCUCAUUUGUUCCAGCUCGCGUCCCCGAUCAGCUUCAGCCCAAGGCGUUCCUGAUCCUAGCUCAAACGUUCGCGACCCGAGAGCAGUUCCAGCACGCGACCUCUUUCUCGUUCGCGACAGCAUCAGACAGCUCGCGUCCGACGAUCAAGGUGUUCCCGAUCAAGUAACAAAGGACGUCCGCAACUCGAUCCAUUCCAGCUCGCGUCCCGUUCGUGUCUAGCUCGCGGCUCAACUUCUUUGGUGGUCCGCUUCAACAAUCAUCUAAGGUUAAAAGGUAAUUCAAAACCUAAGAACCCAUAAUCGAACAUGGAUUGAUUGAUAAAGAAUGAAACCCUAAAACUCUAAUCUUUAUGAAUCAAAACCAUAGGGUAAUAGAUCAAAAAUCUUAAUUGAGUAAAUCGUGUUCCAGCUCGCGUCCCCGAUCAGCUUCAGCCCAAGGCGUUCCUGAUCCUAGCUCAAACGUUCGCGACCCGAGAGCAGUUCCAGCACGCGACCUCUUUCUCGUUCGCGACAGCAUCAGACAGCUCGCGUCCGACGAUCAAGGUGUUCCCGAUCAAGUAACAAAGGACGUCCGCAACUCGAUCCAUUCCAGCUCGCGUCCCGUUCGUGUCUAGCUCGCGGCUCAACUUCUUUGGUGGUCCGCUUCAACAAUCAUCUAAGGUUAAAAGGUAAUUCAAAACCUAAGAACCCAUAAUCGAACAUGGAUUGAUUGAUAAAGAAUGAAACCCUAAAACUCUAAUCUUUAUGAAUCAAAACCAUAGGGUAAUAGAUCAAAAAUCUUAAUUGAGUAAAUCGAAGCUCUAAAAGUUCGAUACCCCAAACCCUAAAUCAUGUUCCUACAUGAUUAAAACCCCAAAUCGGUUUUUACAAGUUAAAAUCCGAUAAACCCUAACCUUAUAUCUAUAAACCCUAAAUAAUAUAAGUAUCAGAAUUAAUUAUACUAUAAUUAUCAAAUCACAUAUUAAAACCCUAAUCGAAUAUUUUGAAAUCAAAACUGUUUUCGGUUUUGAUCAUUGAGGUUUUAAAUCUGAUUGAAUAUGAUGCUAUGUUGCUAGAAUUGUUUGACCGUUAAAUUGAUAGAUUUAUUUUCUCAUAUUGCUUGGUUAAUUGUUCAUCUGAUUUAAAAUUGUUUAAACCGACCAGCCUGUUAAAACAUUGAUUAAAUCUGAUAGGUUGCUAGCUUGCUUUGCUUAUAUAAUCCGAUAGGUUGAUAGAUUGAUUGAGAUUUACUUGUUUAAAAUCUGAAUGAUCUGAUUGCAUGAUUCUUGAGGUUUAAUAUCAUCUGCUAGGAUUGAUAGUUUUGUAAUCUGAUCUGUUUUAAAUAGAAACCCUAAAUAAUCCGUAUGAUAGGCUAUAUUGAUCUGAUUUGGAUGUCUUUGAGAAUUUAGAAUCUGUAUGCUAGGUUGAUAGAUUCAUGAUAAAAUAUAAUGUCCUGAGGUUUAAGAUUGUAUGCUAAGUUCGAUUAAAUUGAUUGAUCUGAUUAUAUGUUUUUGAGGUUUGAUAAAUUUGGAUACUAGAUAAAUUAUUUACACAUGUUUUAUGUUAAAUACAAAUCAGCCUUGAAACUGAUUCAUUGAAAUUCAUGCUUGAAAUCUAUAUUCCAGUAUUGCUAAAAUCAGCCUUGAAACAGAUUGAGUAAUUAAUAAAUCUUUUUACUAGUCUUGCUAAAAUCCAUUGAUUGUUAAACCCUAAUUGCACGAUUAAUUGAAUCCGUUUUUACUAGUCUUAAUAAACCAUAAUAUUAUGAGCACAUAGAAAUAGUAUUGCUGAGACUUAUUAGAAAUUGACUAAUUGAUUAAAUGCCUUUAAGAUUGAUUGUUUCAUUGUCCUCACAAGAUUGAUAGUUUCAUUGUCCUCACAAGACUGAAAUCUAAAUUGAUUUUUUUUAAGAAUAAGGCCGCAUGAAAAAUUAUACCAAAAUAUUGAGUGAUAUAUGAUUUGAGAUGUCGAAAAUCAACCUGGAUUUUGCUGCCCUAAAUCUCUCUGGAGAUAAUUAUUUAUGGUGGGCAUUGGAUACAAAGAUUAUCCUAAAGUCAAAAAGACUUGGUGAAUGUAUCAUAGAAGUGAAUAGUGCCAAUGAGAAAGAUUGAUACAUGGCAAUAUUAAAUUAUUCGCCAUCAUCUUAUUGAGAGUCUCAAAGAUCAGUAUUUGACAAUUGAGAAUCCUCUAGACCUUUGGACAUAAUACAAAUCGAGAUAUGAUCACCAAAGAACGGUGUUAUUACCAAAGGCCCUAUUUGAUUGGAGGAAUCCCAGAAUCCAUGAUUAUAAGUCCGUAAAUGAGUCUAUUGCUAGCUGGGCAAAAUAAUGGAUUACUGAUGAGAAACAGUGAAUUGAGACCUCCUGGAUUAACCUCAUUAUCUGAUACCAAUUUUACUAGUCUUGCUAAAAUCCAUUGAUUGUUAAACCCUAAUUGCACGAUUAAUUGAAUCCGUUUUUACUAGUCUUAAUAAACCAUAAUAUUAUGAGCACAUAGAAAUAGUAUUGCUGAGACUUAUUAGAAAUUGACUAAUUGAUUAAAUGCCUUUAAGAUUGAUUGUUUCAUUGUCCUCACAAGAUUGAUAGUUUCAUUGUCCUCACAAGACUGAAAUCUAAAUUGAUUUUUUUUAAGAAUAAGGCCGCAUGAAAAAUUAUACCAAAAUAUUGAGUGAUAUAUGAUUUGAGAUGUCGAAAAUCAACCUGGAUUUUGCUGCCCUAAAUCUCUCUGGAGAUAAUUAUUUAUGGUGGGCAUUGGAUACAAAGAUUAUCCUAAAGUCAAAAAGACUUGGUGAAUGUAUCAUAGAAGUGAAUAGUGCCAAUGAGAAAGAUUGAUACAUGGCAAUAUUAAAUUAUUCGCCAUCAUCUUAUUGAGAGUCUCAAAGAUCAGUAUUUGACAAUUGAGAAUCCUCUAGACCUUUGGACAUAAUACAAAUCGAGAUAUGAUCACCAAAGAACGGUGUUAUUACCAAAGGCCCUAUUUGAUUGGAGGAAUCCCAGAAUCCAUGAUUAUAAGUCCGUAAAUGAGUCUAUUGCUAGCUGGGCAAAAUAAUGGAUUACUGAUGAGAAACAGUGAAUUGAGACCUCCUGGAUUAACCUCAUUAUCUGAUACCAAUUAGGCCGCAGAAGAAAAAAAAAGGUAACCACGUCCAGAAUGAUAGACCACACGGUCAUGGCCGUGGAGGGUGGAAAGGACGUGGCCAUGGCCACUAUAGCACAUUUGGCCGUGGGAAUCACUAUGGCAGAGGCCGUGGGUAUCAACCCAAUUUGAGCCAUGGUCAAGGCAGUGGCGGUGGUAUAUCCUUUAAACCACAAAGCUCGACCAAAUCAGUGUGCCAUAGAUGUGGAAUGGGGAACCAUUGGGCUAAGAUAUGAAGGACUCCCAAACAUUUUUGUGGCCUCUAUCAAAGAGAGACUGAAAGGGAAGAAUUCUGAAACUCACUUGGUCUAUAAAGAUGGUGAAAUUAAUUUCGAACAUGAUCAAGAUGAUCUUAUGGAAUAUGAGACUUAUGAUUGCCUAAAAGAAUCAAGUUGAUAAUCUGAUUUCGACAUCAAACUUGUGUGAUUGCUUUGCUUGUAUGCUUUCUCUGAUUUUUAUCUCCUUGAAUUUAUUUCUAUUACAUUGUCUGCUUAGAUUAAAUGAAUGAAUGAUCUUUCUAUAUGAGUACACUGAAAAACGUUAAUAUAAGUACUGAAGCAGGUAUCGUCAGUCUGAAAAACCAAAAUAUUGAGUGAUAUAUGAUUUGAGAUGUCGAAAAUCAACCUGGAUUUUGCUGCCCUAAAUCUCUCUGGAGAUAAUUAUUUAUGGUGGGCAUUGGAUACAAAGAUUAUCCUAAAGUCAAAAAGACUUGGUGAAUGUAUCAUAGAAGUGAAUAGUGCCAAUGAGAAAGAUUGAUACAUGGCAAUAUUAAAUUAUUCGCCAUCAUCUUAUUGAGAGUCUCAAAGAUCAGUAUUUGACAAUUGAGAAUCCUCUAGACCUUUGGACAUAAUACAAAUCGAGAUAUGAUCACCAAAGAACGGUGUUAUUACCAAAGGCCCUAUUUGAUUGGAGGAAUCCCAGAAUCCAUGAUUAUAAGUCCGUAAAUGAGUCUAUUGCUAGCUGGGCAAAAUAAUGGAUUACUGAUGAGAAACAGUGAAUUGAGACCUCCUGGAUUAACCUCAUUAUCUGAUACCAAUUAGGCCGCAGAAGAAAAAAAAAGGUAACCACGUCCAGAAUGAUAGACCACACGGUCAUGGCCGUGGAGGGUGGAAAGGACGUGGCCAUGGCCACUAUAGCACAUUUGGCCGUGGGAAUCACUAUGGCAGAGGCCGUGGGUAUCAACCCAAUUUGAGCCAUGGUCAAGGCAGUGGCGGUGGUAUAUCCUUUAAACCACAAAGCUCGACCAAAUCAGUGUGCCAUAGAUGUGGAAUGGGGAACCAUUGGGCUAAGAUAUGAAGGACUCCCAAACAUUUUUGUGACCUCUAUCAAAGAGAGACUGAAAGGGAAGAAUCCUGAAACCCACUUGGUCUAUAAAGAUGGUGAAAAUAAUUUCGAACAUGAUCAAGAUGAUCUUAUGGAAUAUGAGACUUAUGAUUGCCUAAAAGAAUCAAGUUGAUAAUCUGAUUUCGACAUCAAACUUGUGUGAUUGCUUUGCUUGUAUGCUUUCUCUGAUUUUUAUCUCCUUGAAUUUAUUUCUAUUACAUUGUCUGCUUAGAUUAAAUGAAUGAAUGAUUUUUCUAUAUGAGUACACUGAAAAACGCCAAUAUAAGUACUAAAGCAGGUAUCGCCAGUCUGAAAGAAGACUAUGGCUAGGCUAAUAUAUUAUUGCCUAAGGGUAUGCAUCUAGAAAUCAGUGAUGCCUUAUAUUCACCCAGCUCUAAGAGCAAGAGCAGCCUAUUGAGUUUUAAAGAUAUAAGAAUGAAUGGUUUCCAUAUUGAAACAAUGGGCGAAGGAAACAAAGAGUUCCUUCAGAUAUAUGUAUAAAAUCGCCCAAGGCCAUAAUAAGUCCUAAAGACGAUACUUGCAUUCUCUACUGACCUAGGCUAUGCAUAGAUCAGUAUUAUAGAGGCUAAAAUCCUGCGAAAAUAUACACUUUAUGGCACGACCGGAUUGCCCAUCCUGGUCCAAACAUGAUGCAAAAAUUGAUAUUCAAAAGGCACACAUUAAAAGAUAAGAAGAAUUAUCCCAAAGAAUCUCACGUUUGUAGCAUGAACACAAGGGAAACUCAUUUAAUCCCAAGCGUUUAAAUGAUUAUGGUAUGUCCAUGGGGGUAAGUGUGGACAAUUCUGUGAUACAUGUCCAUACCAAGAACGGCUUGGCCGAAAUCUUUUAAAACGCAAAUAGCUGAUUGAUAGACCAUAACUUAUGAGGUCAAAACUCCCAUUCACAGCUUGGGCCACACGAAAUUUACAUGCACCUAAGUUAAUGUGCAUCAGGCCAUUUAGUGAGCAUAAAUAUCCCCUAUCACAAUUAUUAACGGGUCAAGAGCCAGACAUACCCCAUCAUAAGACAUUUGGAUGUGCUGUCUAUGUACUAAUUGCUCCACCACAGAGAACUAAGAUGGGACCUCAAAAGGAGGAUGGGGAUAUAUGUUGGAUAUGAUUCUCCCACAAUAAUAAAGUACUUUGAGCCAACUAUGGGUGAUUAUAUUUGAGGCCAUGUACACGGAUUAUUUUAAGACCAAGAGGAGAAAAAUAAUAAUAAAGCUGGUAAAAGAAUGGUAAAAGAAAUAUAAUGGAGUCAACCAUCAAUGUCUUGGCAAGAUCCUCGGACUAAAGAAUGUGAAAUAGACGUCCAAAGAUUAUACAUUUACAAAGCUAGCUAAUCAAAUGCCAGACACAUUUGCUGACCCGAAAAAGAAUGACUAAGUCAUAUAUAAACCAGCUUGUAAAGCACCAACGAAUUUGAUGUCCAAGAAGAGACACAGUCAAGUUGCUACAGAGUCUAGACAACGUAUGAAACGUGGUAGACCAAAUAGGUUCCAAAAGAUAAGAAUCCUCGGAAACAAAAGAAAGGUGCAGAGAAUGAUAAUCAAAAUCCAAAUCCGAGGUUACUAAGGAAACCAUCCCAGACAUGGAGAUAAGGCCGGCCGGCUCUAAGGUACAGGUACCAAACAAUGUAGCUUGGGACACCAAGCUGCAAAGUAUUAAAGGUCCUGAUAAUAAUGAAUCUCAAUCGAUUAUAUCAUGUCUGGAACAUAAUGGAACCAAUAAGGAAUGUCGACAUAAGAUGAUUUAUUUGCAUACAAGGUAGCACUUGAAUUUAUGAAUAUAAGCGAGGAUCAUGAACUCACAUCAAUAUAAGAGUGCGCACUCGUAAACUGAUCCAUUCAGUCCAAAGGUGGACGAUAAAGAAGUUCAUUUAGUCCUGAGAUGGACGAUGCAGAAGUCUUGUUUUAGACACUGAUCUGAUUGGUCCAUAAGAAGGACGAUGAAGAAGCUUUUGAUUUUGAUUUAUUUUAUACUAACCAGCCCAAAGAGGGGUUAUUUGGUUUUGUUGAUUUGUUUUCAGAUAGAUUAUGUUUUACACAUGGUGGUACACACAUAUCACAUCAACAUCAUCCAAGAUUUCGUGUGUGUGUAUUUGAGGUCGAUCACUCAAUAUGUUCGAUCAGAUUGUGGCAUGGCCGAUGGUAAAGUAGAACCAACUAUCAUGUUCGAGGACGAAGCAUAUUCUGCCCAAGAUCUUCAUCAUCCACGGAUUGCAGAAAAUUGGAGAGGUCCAAGGGACCUUCAGUAAUGUCCAAAUCAGGGGGAGUAAUGUGUGUUGUACUCUUUUUCCUUCACCAUGGUUUUGUCCCAAUUGGGUUUUCCUGGUAAGGUUUUAGUGAGGCAACAUUAAAACACAUCAGAAGCUUUAAAUAGUUAUUGUAUCCAAUGGGAAGUGUUAUGAACCAGAUUAUGGAUGACUCAUAACCAAAAGAUUAUGAUUUAUACACUUUCUAUUUAUUUAUGACGGUGUAAUCUCAUAUAUAAGAAACUUUUAUGUUAUGAAUAAAGAGAAAUUUUUCCAUUACUUUUAUAACAUGAAUCUAUAAGUAUAUAUUUUGCACUUUUUUAUUCCUAGAAUUAAUCAUUAUUUGACAUUAUCUACCGCCCGAUCUAGAUCAACCUCCAUUAUAUUUUCAAAGGCCCAAAACGUAUUAAUUUAUUAAAUAUUAAGUAUUGCUUAUUCUAAUUAUUUAUUCUGGAAAACUAGAUUUCAGUGUAAGUUUUCAGACUAUAAAUUCUUGAUUUACACCAAAUUUAUAUCAUUUUUGUCUGGCCGAAUUUAUAUCAUUUCGAAAUAAAACAUAUUGUUAAUUUUAGUUGCUGACAAAAGUGAUAUAUUGAAUUUUGAACCUCAGUUUUCACCAUUAACUGUAAAUGGAUCUGAAAUUUGACUUCUUGUUAUUUAUGCAAAGACGAAUCCUGUAAUUCAGUAUUUCUAUUUUUUUCAUUUUUUCUUGUUUCAAGAAAGUAUGCAUUUUUAGAAGCAUUAAAAAUUGUAAAAUUUUAUUCUGAAAGAAAGAUGAGUAUAUAUAUACAUGGAGAUGCUGUAUAUGUUUAUAAAUCUGAGGUGUCGCCCCAUGUAAACUUAAGUGGUCAAUUUAUAUAACAUAAAAAAAAGAUUCAUUCGAAACUGAAAAAAAAAAAAAUCAAAGAGAUAAGUUUUAAGAAAACAAAAUGUGAAGAGAGGGAUAUUAUGAAUAUACAGUAGAACCUCUAUAAAUUAAUAAUGUUGAGAAUUUGAAAUUUUAUUAAUUUAUAUAGAUAUUAAUUUACAAAAGUUUCUUUAUUAGAUUUUUUAUUUUAAGAUAUAUUUAUUCUAAAAUAAGAAAAUGUUUGAUUUUAGUGUAUAGACAUUAAUUGUUAUUUAUUUAAAUUUGACAUUUAUAUUAAUUUAUUAUAUUAUUUGGUGUAUAUAAUAUAUAUAUUGCAUAAAAUUCGAAUGUGGUUUUAGAUAUAAUAUUACUUGUUCAAAAAAGAUAUAAUAUUACUAAAUCUCAUCAAAAAUAUAUUAAGUGUUAAGAAAAUAUAAAAAUAAUACUAUUAUGAACAUAAAAAAAUAUAAUAAUAGGUUUUUGCUUAUAUAAAAAAUGUAUACAUAUACAUUAUUAAUUUAUAAUUUUAAUUGGAUUAUAUAUUUACAUAAAAUUUUCUAAGCAAUUAUUAUUUUAUUAUUUUAUCGAUUUUUGUCAAAUUUUAAACUGGUCCAAGUUGGAACCCGUGAAAUCUAUUAAUUUAUAGAAAUUAUUAAUUUAUCGAGUAUUAGUUUAUAGUUAAAUAGAGUUGAAAGGAGAGAAGUCAGUGAUAGCUUCCAACAUCAACUUGUUUAUUUAUUCACUUAGCUAGAUAAAAUAAGGAUGUGUGCUUCUGCUUCUAGUGUGUGUCUUCUAUGUACAAAACACACGAUGUGAUUUAACCUGUUCGAGUCUCCACGUGCCUGCCCAACGAUCUUCUUCAAAUUUUUAAGAUCAAAUUAUUACAACUUGAUGGUAGUUUAUGUUCAUUAGAGUUUUAAAAAAUAUAUAAAUCUUCUACUUCCAGAGUGUCUUGGGCCGCAUUUAAGGCUUUAUUAGCUCUGAAAUUAGAAUGGGUCCUUCAGUAGUUCUGCUCAUGAAGAUUCUACACGUAGCUCAAUAACGGAGCCCAUUCAUAUUUAGUCGCAAAGUUAAGAUCAUUCUUUUUGUUACAGACACUGAAAUCACUGAAAUCUUGAACAACAACAAAAAUGUAAUCUUUUUUUUUUUUUGUAAAAAGCAUUCUUAAUAUUAAAGCAAAAGACCAAAAACGUUUUACAGAGCAUAGCCCAGUGAAUCACAUAAGGAACCUAGUUGAUAAAGCCCAAUAGUUUUAUAACCCAAAUAGUUUCCUUGCCCAGUUUAAAAUAGCCCAAAAGAAAUAGUAUGGAAGUCGGAAAGUCAUGAUAUGAAGCGAUGAGAGCGAGGACCUGCGAUCGCGAGAGGGAACGGUGAGAUCGUAGGGAUGAUGUGAUAUUUGGGGAAGUAGCUAAGGUGAAGACAACGGGAGUGACGAAUCAUGCAAAGCGAAUCCACCUUUGCAUCAUCUGCGAGGAUCUCCUAGGGUUCAAUUCUCUGAAGCUCUGAACCUUGUUGAUCAGUUGGCGAUCAAGGAGUUUGAAGAUACUAUCGACAGAUCGGAAAGUGUUAGAGUGCAGUCUAGCAUUCCUCUCAUUCCAGAGCCAAUAAGCCGUUGCUUGCCAAGCCGUUAGUACCAGGAGACGAUGCGAUUUCUGUAGGUGAAGCGCAGUCAUUUGGUUGAGAGUGUCCUCCCAGCCUCUCUGAGGUUGAAUCUCUAGCUUUGAGGCGACCUUGCUCCAUAGCUGAAAACUAAAGGAACAAGAGAAGAAGAGAUGAUUCCUAGAUUCUGGCAUUGAGUUGCAGAGGAGGCAGUUUGCGUCGACGUUGAUGCCCCAACUUAUCAACCUAUCUCGAGUUGGGAUUCUAUCCAGGACCGAUAACCAAGUGUGGAAGUUGUGUCGUGGGAUUCCUCCUGAGAACCAGACCGCCUUGGACCAUUGGACAUCUGCUCUUUCCGCACAGAGGUAUGCAUAUAAUUCCCCCGUUUUGAAUCGCUCUGAGACCUGACCAUUUAUCUCCCACUCGUAGUAGUCUUGGUCUUCAGUAAGUGUGAUUGUCAUAAGGUAAGCUUGAAGUUGAACUUGUGUCUCUGUCCUUGCAGGUGGAAGGUGCCAAGAUCCAUUCCUGAACAAUGAGGAGACAGUGGCAUGAGGCGGUAUUCCAAGACGUGAAGGCGAGUUGGAGAGAUGAUCAGAUAGGCUCCCAAAUGGCGUCCAAUUGUCAAACCAGAACAAUGCCGAUUCCCCAUUCUGUAUUCUUAGCUUAACAAUGCGAGUUGGAGAGAUGAUCAAAAAUGUAAUCUUCAACAAUUGUUUAUAGCCAAGGCAUAAACAUGGUACAAUUCUCUAAACGCAUGAAUAUAUCAAAUGAGAAACGCCAUAUACUGAUAUAUGUGCACGUGCAUACAAUGUUUUUAUGGACAAAGCUCAAUAAAUCUUUAAUAACAGGUUUGGCAUCCCAUUCAUCAUCAGAAUCGAUCCUAAACACAAUCAAAUGAAAUAUUGGCUUUAGAUCCCUAAAAUUUUCAAAACUGACCAUGUUCAUCGUUAUCAUUACAGGUAUAGAAACAUUUUCUGAUAGAAGAGUUUCUCACUUCUAUGAAAUAUUCGAGGUCACGGCAUUCUUUGCCAAACGAAUAAUAAUUGACGAUGUUUAAACUACUAUUUCGUUUCUUAUAUUAUGUGUCAAUGUCACGGAGCAAAAUAGUUAGUAGAACGUCAUAUUUUAUCAAAGAAAUAUGAUGAUUAUAAUAAAAAUGUGAUCCCAAAUGAAUGAAAGAUAUUGAAUAGAAGUUUAAAGAAUUGAAGCAAUCAUGAGGAGGUCAGCCGCUUCCUCCGAAGCAACAUAAUCCCAUUCAUACUUGAAAUGAGCUGCCCAAAACUUUCUUAUUACUAUGCCCUUGCAAUUUAUGAAACCUUCUUUUUAAAAUGAAAAUCAUAUCCAAAAAUCUUGUCAUUGCCACUUCAUUUCAAUAGCAUAUUAAUUGUACAUGUCCCCCUUGUCGUUUCCUUUUGUUCUAGUCAUGACGAAAAUCUCUGUUUCACACUUACAUAAUCAUCAUAAUAAAUGUUACAUUAGAAAAAAUGAAGUGGAAAACUAUAAAUUUUCAUAUAGUUGUUUCGAUAAAACCAACUGUAAUCAAACCUUCCAAUGAAAUUAGAUAUAUGAAUUUGGAUCAUAUGUGGCUCUAUCAUUUGGACACUAUAAUACGAGUAUAAAAUCUAAUUAAUAUUACUAUGUACGUUGAUGUAAAUGUGCAUACACCAACCCCUUUUGAAUUUCUGGUUAUAUUACAUAGUUGAAUCAAUCGAGUUUAGUGUAGAUUUACUAUAUAAAAACGUAUUAGUUGACAAUAAAUAGAACAAAACAAAAGAAACAUACAAUUAAUGAUUGACUGUGAAUUGCUUUAUAUAAGGUGCAUGUGAUGCUGCAGGUGAUGCAACAUGGGAAAUCAUAUAAAUGGACGAAAAUUCAAACUCUAUUAUUACCCUUCCUCAGAUUGGUCACGCAACUAAUAAUUAAAGAGUUUUCAUAAUUAAACUACGAUCACUAUGCAUACAUACUACUAUCAUUGAGAAUCCGUAGAUGUGGGGCAGUUAAACUUCCACAUGUGGUUCACUCAGGUCGUAUACACAUGUGCUUGUGGUGUUUCUAUAUAUAUAUAUAUAUGUAUGAUUAUUAACAUAACAUCAAGGUUACCUGAAAGAACGGUCAUAAUCUUGCUGUGUGCAACAGAUGCAUAUUUAUAAGGUUAUUUACAAGGAGCUCAGCUUGGUUUAGUAUUCGAAGAUAUUACCAGGUCUAGUUCGAGUUAAUUAAUAGUCCAAUACGAUGUAAUCGUUGUUAAUUACGAUAUGCACAUUAAACUAUCCUGCUCUUUCACAACUUUUUAAUGUGAUUCUCUGGUUUUUAUAUAGUUUUGUGACCUAGGCAUAUUAUAUAUUGGACUUGGCAUCAAGUUUAAGAUUUUAUGUGUAUUUGGAUUUUGAUAAGGAUGGAACUACGUACGCAACCCACAUGAUUUCCGGAAAUUCGAUUAUUUUCUCAAUAUAUUACUAUGCAUUUUGGCAGUAUACCUACUUAGAAAAAUAAGGAAAUUUUUUUUUUUUAAAUAACAAAAAGCAACAGAAAACUACUACCUAGAAAAGCGUUAGAAACGGGUAAGAAUACAGAGAAAUAUUCUAGUAACGGCCGCAGAGCAUCAUUAUCUUUUCUUUCACAUUUACGUCUAUGCCCUUCCGUUAAUCUCGAUGAAACAACGAGAAGAGAAAAGAAUCUUCUUCAAAUAAACCCAGAAAAUCACGCUUAAAUUACAUUAACCAAACCGAACCAAUUUCCAUUUAAACCUUCACAAGAGUCUCAAACCGGUUCUUAAACCGGCGAAAAACAGGAAAUUUGCAACAAACAAAUUUUGAAAAAAGAAAAAAAAAUUCAAAAAGAAAAGCCCUAAAAAUAUCGCUAAUCUUUCCCCUUCCCCAUUUGAACUUCAAUCUUCUUCAUCAUCUAUCAUCCAGAAAAAUGAAAAAUAUACAUAGCUAUGUACACCAUCAACACGACGUCGUACUGCAUCUGAGCCGAAAAAAAAAGAACCAGAUCCAUAUCUCUCUAACUACCAAAGAUUCCCUCGCGUGUCAAAUCGUCUCGUCGCCGAUUACAUCUUGUAGGUCGCUCGGCACCGCUAAUCCGAGCCGAAGCGACUCCAUGAUUCGCUCGAAUACCAACACGUGGCAGGGGAUCUGCAGAACUCCUUUCUGUUCGUAACCGUACUCUUGAGCCGAUCGGUUCAACAAACCGAUGAAAACCGGGUGGUUUAGCAGCUCCGCGCUCACCACGAACCGCUCCAUCUCGUCUCCCACGUAGACAGGCACGUGACCCUCGGGAACGGAGGAUGUGUGCUUCUUCGAGCGGCGAGGCGCCGGUGGACGGCGGCUAGGUCGCUGCGAAUCGGAACGGAGGAGGCUGUAGUUUGCGGAGUCGGCGACGCGGGAGAGGCGGCGGAUCAGAUGCUUCAUCUCUUCGCGCUGUUGGUUUGAGAAAGAGAGAGAAGAGUGAUGAAAGUGAUUGAGGCUUGACGAAGGAAUCAAUGAGAGAAGAUUUUGUUGAAGGAGAGUGUGAGGGAAGGCAGAGUCUUUUAUAUAGAGGCGAGGGUAGUUUUGGAAUUUUGGCUUUGGCAUAAAGUGGGUACGGGGGAAGGAGUACUUGCCAGGUACACUUGACUCGUAAAUAUCGACUUAGGGUUAAAAUAAUAUAUGCCGAAUUUAGAACAAAAUAUUUUUUGAAAACAAGAUAUAUAUAAUUUGCCUAGCUUAAAAAAUGAAAAUAAUCUUCAUGUUAAACAAAAUGGAAAAAUUAAAUCUUAUUUCUCGAUCUUCUUGUUUUAUGUAGAGAUGAUAUAUACUGUUUGGAUUUCACAAACAAAAUCAUAUAGAUUAUAAAUUGAAUUUAAAAUACAAAAAUCUAAUUCCUAAACAAAAUGGGGAAACUAUUUGAUAUAGGUGUAAAUUAUAACGAUUUAUUUACCUCUGGCUGUGAUUCUUUAGAUCUGAUAUUUCUUAUCCUUUUGGAUUACUAACAAUCUUGCAUUAUCCUAAACUGGAUGUAUCUAAAUAAUACAGAAUAAAAAUAAAGUUUGAUUAUUAUGUAUUAUGAAUAAUAGGAUUAGGAUAUCAAUUAGCUCAGGCUAGUUAUUCAAUCAAUUAUUAAGAGAUUACAUGACUUUUUAAGUAUAAACUGUAUCUUGAGUCAUAUGACAAUCUAGGUUCAUGAUCAUCUCAAAAUAUAUCAUUUAUCACAAAAGCAUUAACGAAAUAACUGGUUAAGUAGUUAUUAGAAAAUGCAACUAAGGCCUUGUUCGUUUGCUCGCCCAGAUGAUCCAUCUGGAGGAAGAUGCAAAUAGAUGUUCGUUUUGUGCAUUAUAAUGCUACAUCCAGAUGGAUCACUCGGCUGAAUUUUUAAAAACUCAUUUUAAAUUCUCACCCAAAUGAAGGUGAUUUUUAAUGGUGCAUCUGGAUGUAGAAGCAUUUAGUUCACUCCAAAAUGAUAAAUGACAAAAAUGACUUUUUAAAAUCAAAAUAUUAUUUUUAAACCAUAAAUUCUAUUUUUUGCAUAUACAUUUUUCUCCUAUAACCAAAAAAUGCAUUUUCUCGCAAAAACUGAAAAACACACUUUCCCGCCAAAACCGUAAGAUGCGUUUUUCCGCAAAAAAACGUAAAAUACACAUUUCCAUAAAAACACAUUUUUUGGCCAAACCAGUAAAACCGCACUUUUCGACCAAAACCAAAAAAUCGCAUUUUCCCGUAAAAAAAUGCAUUUUCCCGCCAAAACCCAAAAAACGCAUUUUCCCGCCAAACUCCAAAAAGUAUUUUCUGGCCAAAACCGGAAAAAUGCAUUUUCUCACCAAAACCAGAAAACACAAUUUUUCUGCAAAAACUGGAAAACGGAAUUUUCCCGCCAAAACCGGAAAAAACGCAUUUCCCGCCAAAACCGGAAAAAACAAUUUUUCCGUCAAAAUUGGAAAACAAAGUUUUCCCGCCAAAACCGGAAAAACGCAUUUUCGCCAAAACCGGAAAAACACAUUUUUCCGCCAAAACCGGAAAAUGGAAUUUUUCCGCCAAAACCAGAAAAUAGAAUUUUCCCGCCAAAACCGGAAAAACGUAUUUUCCCGCCAAAACUGGAAAACAGAAUUUUCCCGCCAAAACCGGAAAAACACAUUUUCCCGCCAAAUCUGGAAAACACAUUUUCUCGCCGAAAUCGGAAAAACGCAUUAACGAAAUAACUAGUUAAGUAGUUAUUAGAAAAUGCAACUAAUUUUAUUACUGGUAAGUGAUUAAUGAUACAAGAGGCCAAUAUUCACUAAACUUCAAUCUAAGCUGGAACUAUAUAUUGAUUUUAAACUAAACUAAAAAAACUCUCGUGUUUCAAAAAAAAAAAAAAACUCUUAAUAUUCUUGUUCUGUAUAGAUAAACUGUUUGGAUUUCUUGAUACAACCGAAUUUAAAAUAGAAAAAUCCAAAUUUCUAAAAAAAUGGGGAAAAUAUGUGAUAUAACUUUUGUCAUUUUAAUAUGUGAUAUAACUGUAUUAUAUUUAGAAAAAAUAUUUAGUUCUGGAUAUGAUAUUUUUAAUUGUUGAUCUAGCAUAUUUUAUUCGUUUUAUAAUAACAAGCUUGCAUUAUCAUAAACUGGGUAUAUCAAGACAAUACAGAAGUUAAAUUAAUAUGUAUUAUGGAUAGUAGGAUUAAGAUAUACGGAUUAGCUUAGCCUGGUUAUCCUAUCAAUUAUAGGAUAUACAUGUCUUUUUAGUAUAUAAUCUAUAUCAUGAGUCAUAUGACAAAACGAGAUUCAUGAUCAGAGUAUAUCUUCCUGAUGUUGUAACAUCAAAAAAAUUAUCCUUUAUCAAAAAGAUAUUAACAAAAUUACUGGUUCAGCAGUUUCUACAAAGAAAAUGCAAUAAGAUUGUUACUGGUUCAAUAUCUAUUGCUUUAGAUACACACAAUAAUAACAACAAAGUUUUCUUUAGAUGCUAGUAUUUAUAUUUAUUUCCAUGGACUCCUAAAUUAUGUAGCUAACAAGUUUAUUCGCUUAUCCUAUUCAGAAUAUACAUGAUAAAGGGCAAGGGAUAUAAAUCGCCUUGUUUUCAAUAUAUCAAAUUAUUUUGAAUGUAAAAAUUUAUAAAAAGUUGAUAUAUAUAUAUAUAUAUAUAUAUGUAUAUAUAUAUAUAUGUAUAAGUAAUUGUGGGGUCCACAAUUUUUUAUGGAACCCCAUAGGUAAGGGUUCCUACUUCCUAGAGCAUCUCCAACCAAUAUCUGUAUUUGCCUCUAUAAUAGCAUUUAGAGAUAAAAUCACUUCAACCCUACUAUAUAUUUCUUCUUCUAAAAUAGAUAUUGCUAUUUUCACCUCUAUAUUUAGAGGAAGAAAUAACAUUCCUCUAUAAUAGAUGCAUACUUUUUUAUUUACAAAAUGAUCCUUUAAUUUUUUACUUUAUAACCAAAAUAAAUAUUUGUUAGUGAAAAUUUACUGUUUAUAUAAACAUAUAAUCAUAUUUUUUAUUUAUAUAAUAGUUUCAGUAUAAAAAUAUUGUUAAACCGUUAGCAAAAUACUAAAUCCUAUACCCUAAAUCCUAAACUCCAAACCCUAAAUUAUAAACCUUAAAUCUUGGAUAAACCGUAAACUAUUGAAAAAUUUUAAACCCUAAAUCAUACAUUAAAAACUAAAUCUUAUUAACACUAAACCCCAAACUCUAAAACCUAAUCACUAAACCCUAAACCCUUGGAUAAACCCUGAACCCUUGGAUAAAUCAUGAACUCUAAAUCAAAAAUAUUUAAAAUUAAACCCUAGAGUUUAUGAUUUAUCCAAGGGUUCAGAAUUUACCCAAGAGUUUAGGGUUUAGUGAUUAGGAUUUAUGGUUUAGUGUUAUUAAAAUUUAUUUUUUAAUGUAUGAUUUAGGGUAAGAUUUUCCAACAGUUUAGAGUUUAUCCAAAGUUUAAGGUUUAACGUUUAGGGUUUAGGGUUUAGGAUUGAGGGUAUAGGGUUUAGUAUUUUGCUGAAGAUUUACAAUAUUAAUUAAUUUAUUUUUUGUAACUAUUUUUAUCUAUUUUUAUUAUUUUAUUUUAAAAAUAUAAUAUAAUUUGGAUAUUCAAUUUUAUUUCUUCUUUUAAAAGAUAUCAAAUAUCAAAUAAUCAAACACUAUUGGAUGGUGAACUUCUACCUUAGAAGGUGAACCCAAGAAUUUCUCUUUUAAAAAUCCCUAAGAACUCUUAUUUAUGGGUUUCCACAAUAAUUGUGAACUCCAUAAUUAUUUAUACAUAUAUAAUAUAUACAUAUACAUAUACAUAAUAUAAGAACCCCAACGAGAAGAAUCCCGUAGGAGAUGGUGUUAGUCUCCUAACUUUGUGGUAAUUUAUAUAUAUUAACUAUGCCACGUAUGAUAUGGAAUAAUCAAAUUGAAGUAGUCUCCUACUACUUAUAGUUAUAAAAAUUAAUUAUAUACCGACAUGCAUCUUUGGUAUGCUUCGUCUAAUUUAGAAAUUUCGAAUUCCCAAGUUUUCAGUUUUACCACAACUAGAAUUUUGACUUGAUGGCUAUCUUAGAUUGUAAUUAAAAAAGAACAGAAGCAGUUAAGUAGGGUGGAGACUGUGUCUACGAAAUUAUAACAAGCUUUCGAGUAGUUGAUUCCUUUACAACUCUUUCUUCAAUUUCCGUGGAACUCCUAUAUUUCUUAAUAUGUUUUUCAACUUCUUGAAGAUUUGGAAAAGCUCAAACCUCACGCAUAGUGCCAAUUUCAAUAUGAUCACUGACUAAAGUUUAUAUUUAGAGGGCCUUUUCCCAAUCAGAUAAUAUAAUUAAACUGAUAUAUAUCCAGUCGAAAAGACGGCUUGAAUCAUGCAGUACUUAGUACAUUAUCCAUUGUAUUCAUCCUUACCCAAUAGAAAACUCAAAGCUAGGCAUUGUUAUAUAAACUGACUAUUUCUGAAGGUAGUUGCUCGUUGAUAUUUUUGUUGACAAAUUAGGUAGUAUUAUUUUAUGAAAAUGGAUAAAAUAAUCAAACAUAACAGAUAGACAUCAAAAGUAUUUAAGAUAUGCAUAGAAACAAGCAUCUGAUGGUCAUAUAUAUAUUUGAUAUAAAAGAGAAAGAAAAGGGAUGUGAUUAAGAAAUAGUUAGUUUAUGCAAAGACACAGACGAGAGAAUAUUCCUCCAACUGAAAAGGUUAUAACGACUAAGUAGGCAUUACCUUCAAUCAUCGAGACAGUCACACACGUCAACAGCUUGAAACUUCACUCUGAUUUGUUAGCUGUAACGCGGAACGCGUUAUUGCAUCAUUGACGAGUAUGUCACCGCUUCGAUAUUCAUAUACUUAGCUCUCUCCGAAUGUAGUAAACUAAGUUGGUUGAUGUUGCUAAGACUGCUUUUACCGCCUUAUCCGUUUACUAAUCGCUGCAAUUUACAACUGUUGCAUGUGGAUAUCAUCUGCAUAUAAUUUUUUUCCAAAAUGUAUAAUUUACCAUUAUUAACUAAUCCAUUUAGUAUUACCUUACUACUAAUCAAAUAGUAUCACUUUACUUCAAAAUUUAUAAUUUAACAUUAUUAACUCAUCCAUUUAGUAUCACUUUAUAUACUACUAAAUUACUAAUCAAAUAGUAUCACUUUCCUACCAAUCAAAUAGUUGUAAAAACACAAUCAAUUGGUUGGUAGAAGUAAAUACUAGUAGUAGGCUUGGGCAAAGCAAACGGAACCGAAAAACCAAAUUCGAACCGAACCGAAAUAUCCGAAUUAACCAGAACAGUACCAAAAUUCUCAAAUACCCAAACGGUUUCUAUAUUUCUAUAUCUGAAAUAACUGAACCGAGAAUCGAACCGAGAACCAAACGGAUACCCGAAUAUAUAAAAAUAUUAAUUAUAUACACAUAUUAACAUAACUAAAUAUAUACAUAUAUUUUUUAAAAAAAAAAUCUAUUAAAAGUAUCCAAAAAUAUUUGAAGAUAAUUAAAUUAUUAUAAAGUAUCCGAACUACCUGAAAGUAUUCGAAAGUAUCCAGAUAAUUUUAUACAAAAUAUCCAAAGUGAUCAGAAAUAUCCAAAUCUUUUUAUCUAAAUCAUUCUAAUUAUUUGAUAUUUUAUCCUAAAUAACCGAUAUUUUACCCAAAUUAUCCGAACUAUCCCAACCCGAACCGAAACCAAAUGAGAACCAAUUUUUUUCUGGUAUUUUCUGUUUCCUAAUUUUACUAUCCGAACCUAACCAAACAUGAAACUAUCUGCACUAAACCGAACCAAAAAUAGAUCGAUCUAGCUUCCUAUCCGAACAAUCCGAAAUCCGAAAUACACGAAACGAACCAAUAUCCGGAAUGCCAAGGCCUAACUAGUAGCAAUAAAGAGGGGAAUGGAGUCAUGUGAAAGGAAUUAUGGGUGCAUUUUGAAUUUGGAUUACAUAAACUAUUGAAAACAUAUCCGUACGGUGCUGUAGUACAGGGUAACCUACCCACUUCAACUUUUUCUCUCCCUUACGUGUCAUACCGUACAAACUAACGUGACUAUUCUUCGCAAUUUGAUACGAAAUGAAAUAAAAUAACUAGCGAAAUAAAAAGUUAUGGGGCCUAUUCUCCACUAUCACAGUUGCCCGUUAGGCCGUUUGCUUCUAUCCUUUUCUUACUUUCAUUUUUUUCCUGAUUUAAUAGUCUUUAUUAUAUUUUUUUUGACUAAAAGUCUUUAUUAUAAUUUAUAGUUAGAUAAUGUCGUUGACAAAAAAAAAAAAAGCUAGAUAAUGUCACAACAAAUACUUAGUCAUCAACUAUCAGCCAAAAAAUAGCUGAUAAAAGCCCUCUUAUACGUUUAGGGGGAAAACAUGAAACCAUCGAAUACUCCUGCAGUCCUGCUUAAGUUUCUUAAUCUAGUCAUAACACUGGUCUGACACUUUGAUUCUUUUUUUCUUUUUCUGGCAAUCGACUGUUUGAUUCUUGAAGGCUAACUUGUAUUGGUAAAAGAUUGGUAGAUUCUUGUUUGGAAAGUGAGUAGAUUUCAUCAAUAUCUCGAUCUUUGUCAUAAAUUUCACGAGAUGAUUGAUAAGUGCUGUAUUUUUUAUUUUUUUGCUUUAGAAUAAUAGCCGUAGGUUUUAUUGCGGUAACUGUAGAUUAAUUAUUUCCUGAGCACUAAAUAUAAAGUUAUAGAAAAAUUGAUUUCCAAAGUUAUUUUGUUUCCUAUUUUAGUUUUUAUGGUUGUAACUUUGAAAUUUUCUUAAAGCAUGAUUGGUAAACUAAAGUGGAUAUAGAAAAAAAAAACUGUAGAAAACACUCAUAACACUUACCAAUCACCCCGUUGUUUUAUAAGCUCCUCAUAAAUAUGCUUUGAUCAAGACGAGUAAUUUACAUAAUGGGGCAGUUUAUAACUUUUUAUUACAUCCUUGGACAGUUUAUGCUACAUGGGUAGUUUCUUGUGUGAAAUGACAUAAUUUGCUCUCACAAAAGUGUAACUGUUCAUGUUGUCUAGUUUCUUUUGAUUUUUCUGGUUUCUUUUGCUUUUUCUCGUUUCUUUUGAAUUACCACUUUUCCACCCCUGAUCUUUCUUCCCAAUCAAGCGCACCUAAAAAGAAAAAGAAACUGAAAUUGAAUAACUUUGAUACAUUUUUGUUGCAAAAACUUCAACUAUAAUGGAAAAACAACAAAUUGAUGAACAUAACGCAAAACUCAAUUUAGUUUGCAUUAUACGAGUCAUGAAGUUCCAGAUGACAAAAAAAAAAAAUACUUGCAACGUUGAUAAGAUAUCUAUCAUACCAGAUUGUUUAUCUUAUCAUCACUAUCGUCAACAACAUCACUAUUGUCAUCCUAAUCUUCGUCUUUAACACCUGCUUGAGGUUAAGAUCCAAAGAGCCAAGAUCAAAAUCAAUUUUCAAUUAGCUAUAAUGUGUCUUCGGAUAUUCCAUGUGGACACAUGGUGGUGUACGUAGGCAGUGGUUUUUGGAGAUUUGUUGUGCGUGUGUACGAUAAAGUGUAAUAGCAUAGAUGUGUACAAUAAAUAAAGAGAUGUACACAUGUACACUAAAUAAGGAUAUUUGCAAAGAGUUGGUGUUCUCUUGAUAUGUAGGAGACCAGUUGAGUUGAAGUAAAAAACUUAGGUGUGUAUGGUUAUUUUGUUGUAAUGUAAUGUGCAUAACACUGAUUUUUUGGAUGUUUUGGUAUGUUAUUUAUAGUUAUUUGUGUAUCACUUAUUUGUGUACACCGUGGGAUGUGUACAUGUGUACAUCAAAAGUGAAUCAAAAGAAUAUGUGUACUUCUUCGUCGCUGUUAACAAGGGUGUGGUCGCAGGUAGUUGGGAGACAAAAGAGGGUUUAAUGUAGUUGUACAAGGGAUUAGGUGUACACAUGUAUGAACAUGCUUGUCAACAAGCACUACAAGAAAACAUGUAAUUACCGACUACGACAUCAGUAGUAAAUCAGUCGCAAAAAGCACUAUUACGACUGUUUUGCGACUGAUCAACGUAGUCACUAAUUGUUGUGUCGCUAAUUCAAAGAGUCGUAAAUCAGUCGUUAUUUUUACUACUGCAUUGCGACUGCUUUACGAUUACGGUUAGUAGUGGCUAUUUAGACGCAAAAUAGUCGCAACAGUUGCCGGCUAACUUGCGACUAAUACAUGAUUACUUUGCAACUCAUGUUCAUAGUCGGAUUUUGGUAGUAAAAUUACAGUCGCUAAUUAGUCGUAAAAAAUAAAAGCAAAAACAAAAAAAAAUUGCAAUAAUUAUUUAUUAAAUAUAAAUAAAAAUUGCAUUAAUUAUUUAUAAAAUACAAAUACAAAUAAUAUAAAAUCUUAUUUACAUAAAUACAUAUAAAUAUUAUACAUAUAUCUAUUUGCCGGAGACGGAGACGACGGCUUGCCUCCUAAGACAAAGGCGGAGUUGAGGAGCCAUACACCGGAUCUUCCAGUCCUCCUUCCAAACCGGUGCUCCCUCUCCUCCACAUUCCACGCCGCGAGUUGAGGAGCCACAGUGCCACACUAAAGCUCACUCUCCAUCUCUGCUUCUUCGUGACAUCUUCUUCCUCUGCCGUCUCCACCCGGAAGCUCCUCCUUCUUCUUCAUGCUGUUUCACUCAGAUCCGCCGUCGUCUGAGCCUCUUCCGGUGUGAACAUCGUCGUCUGAGAUUCUUCUUCUCUCCGUCUAUCUUCUAACCUUUCUCUGCCGUCACGCUUCACCAUCUUCAUCAACACAUAUUGAACGAAGAAUUGUGCGAGAGAUAGUGAGAUUGCUUCUUCUUAUUCUCUCAGUCUGUAUUGAUUAAUUU